rnacentral:lncRNA from 1 species
ACAGCCUGCCCGUGCCAGGAAAAGGUCACCCAUCCGCCUGCGAGGAGGAGAGCCGGGCCGGCCGGCGGCACAUGGGCAGGGCCGCGCGGAGGGCAGCCGGGUGGGGGCGGGGAGGGGCCGAAGUUGCCGGGCUCAGGAGACUUUCCUCGGCAUGGUCCCCGCCGCCGCGGCCCGAGCGGCCGAGGUGCCCGGCCCCGGCUCGGGGGCGCUGCCCGCGCCCGGCCCGCGCCCGCUAGCGCCCCCGCGCCCCGCGCCCCGCCGCGCCUCGGGCUCGCUCGCGGCCGCCGGGGCUCGCCUCCAGCGCCAGCGUGGACCCCCCGGCUUUGUGUCUGUCGGUCUCGGCGUGUUUUGUCCCGGUUCAGGCUCCUCUAAAAAACGGCAGGGAGGAACAGGAGGCGGACACCAUCCCCUCGCUCCACCUCCUUGACAGGGGUUUUCCUCCUUCUCCUCUCUCCUCCCUCCCGCUCUCCGCCGGGUCUCCGGGUUUCUCUCGGGUGUCACGUUACUGCCUCUGCCCGGGGAGGGGGGAGUGCGGGGAGAGGGGCGGCGAUUAUUCGCAACAAGGAAGAAAGUUUCUGGGUGUUUUUUUCCUUCCCCCUUUCUCUCCAGUCUGGCCUCCGUUCCUGCGCCACCAGCGACCUCUUGGGGGCCCCGCAGACUUCCCUCUCGUAAACAGUCACCGGCAGGAAGGAGCACGACUUCUUUUACUCUAUUUUUUUUUGCAUUUCAGAAACUUGAUUCUCCUUCUCUAUCCCAAGCUGCUUCCAAAAGGCCGAUAAAAGAAUCUUCUGGACCUAAAAGAGGACCUCCGGGCAGAAAGGCUGCAUCGAACAGAUCCGCUGGCGGGAUGGGUGAUGCGCGAAAGAGCUGCUCGCACCAGCACACUCUCAGGAAGAAUAAUUCAUUGGUGUAUACACAGGCUGUACCACCUGAGGCUCAAGUGACUUGCCCAAGGUCACGGAGCUACCAGGAGUCGGGUUAGGAGCCACUCAAAUCUCUUUGACCCUGAAGCCCACUAUACAAACCACUGCACGGUAUUAUCACCCAGCCCGGGCCCUUUCCCUCAUAAUUUUCAUGAAGAUUGGAGAAUGAGUUAUAACUUAUUUUUAGCCCAGGCCACCUUGAGGAAGGAAACCUCAAUUUCUGGUGCCUCUCGUCUCUGGCUCCCUACUUGCUCUGUACGUUCUGGUAGCUGACAACAGGAUGAAAGGAAGAAUGGGGAGUCAGCUACAGCUAUGUUUCUGUGACUGUACUCCUGAAAACCUUCAUAAAGUUGGGUGUCUGAAGAAUUUUCUACGGAAAACUAGGAAAUAGGUUCCUGAGAUUAAGAACUUACAAUGUAAGAAUAAUAUGGUUUAGCUAAAAUCCAUGCAUGAGCAUCUCUGGUUUCUGAUUUGAAACCAAUGAAGAAGACACAUCGAUCCUAAGCUGGGGAGAAUUAUAGAUGGGGUGGGUGGUGUCACACAUCCACACACACACACUCACACGUGCAUGCUCACAAAUUCUACUUCCCAAUUUUAUGUUGCCCUAGCCUGCCUUCUCUGGUAGAGGAAGGCUGCUUCCCAAGAGAAGAAAAGUCCCUUUGUUCUGCCCCAGAAAAUCCUAAAUAGAGUGUUAAUGGUUUGUUUCACAUUUAUUGCGUGGAUCUGAAAUUUGUUGGAUUAAUAUGCACAUUUUAGAAAUAUGAAUGCUCCUGAGAGAAUUAAGCCCAUCCGUCACUGCCCAUUAAUGUGAAUUACUUUAAUCAGCACUGAGUAGCCCGGAAUAGGCUCCCAAUUAAUAAUUUUUGAGUUAAUGAAGAGCGGCUAGGAGAGGGCGGAGCAAAGCAAUUUUCCUAAUGUUUCCGAGACCACCUUUGACAAAUGGGACGUGUACUGGAGGCUUGGCCCUGUGAGCGGAAUGUUUUUCGUUAGAUGUAACGUAGUGUGGGAGAUCCUGUCUGUGCUCACAAGGCCUGCCUGGGAUCUAGAGACUUCUCUCUCAGAAUGCAUUGGUUAACCUCCCAGUUCUUUCUCCUAAGGAAAGGAAUCUAAGCAGGAAUGAGGUUAUAACAGGGAGAUGGAGCAGGAAGAAAGAAAAUAAACAUUUGAAAAAAUAAGUAAAUAUGGGAAUG